GAAUAUCCAUUAUGAAAAAUUCAUCAUUAUAACAUUAUAAUAUAUUAUUUAUUAUAUGUGAUAGUGUGCAUUUUUUUCAUAUAAGGACAUUGUGAUCUAUUAACAUAAUAAAAUAUUUAUCAAAAGAUCAUUAGCUUAAGUUUAUUUUAAUUAAUUUGCUUUUAGCUUAUUAACAUAAAAUAAAUGCAAAUGAUUUGAUAAAGUGUUGAUAGAUUUAUUAUAUAUAAUGCUUAAAUCUUUUUUUAAAAGAUUUUACAAUAAUAAUAAAAUCUAUUGAUUUU
rnacentral:rRNA from 1 species